UCCGGUUUGACACCGGCAGUCUCCCUAGAGUGCCCGGCUUUACCCGCUGGCAACAUAGGACAAGGGUUGCGCUCGUUGCGGGACUUAACCCAACAUCUCACGACACGAGCUGACGACAACCAUGCACCACCUGUGUAGGGCCCCGAAGGACACCGUAUCUCUACGGCUUUUCCCUACAUGUCAAGCCCAGGUAAGGUUCUUCGCGUCGCCUCGAAUUAAUCCACAUGCUCCGCCGCUUGUGCGGGCCCCCGUCAAUUCCUUUGAGUUUUAGCCUUGCGGCCGUACUCCCCAGGCGGGGUGCUUAAUGCGUUAGCUGCGGCACGGGAGGAGUCGACACCUCCCACACCUAGCACCCAUCGUUUACGGCGUGGACUAC
rnacentral:misc_RNA from 1 species